UCUUAUGGAUAAGCAAAGAAAGUGGUUUCUUGAGAUGGAAUCUACUUCUAUGAAGAUGGCUACGAA
rnacentral:pre_miRNA from 1 species